rnacentral:tRNA from 1 species
CGGGGUGUAGCUCAGCUUGGUAGAGCGCCCGCUUUGGGAGCGGGAGGAAUUUCGGCGGUUCGAGUCCGCCCACCCCGA